AGAGUUUGAUCCUGGCUCAGAACGAACGCUGGCGGCAUGCCUAAUACAUGCAAGUCGAACGAACACUUCGGUGUUAGUGGCGCACGGGUGCGUAACGCGUGGGAAUCUGCCCUUGGGUUCGGAAUAACAGUUGGAAACGACUGCUAAUACCGGAUGAUGACGAAAGUCCAAAGAUUUAUCGCCCAAGGAUGAGCCCGCGU
rnacentral:rRNA from 1 species